rnacentral:lncRNA from 1 species
UUGCAUAGCGUUCCGUGGAGUACCUGUACCAUAUUUUCUUUAUCCAGUCUAUCAUUGGCGGGCAUUUAGUUUGAUUCCAUGUCCUUGCUAUUGUGAAUGGUGCUACAAUGAGCAUAUGUGUGCAUGUAUCUUUUAAAUAGAAUGAUGUAUAUAUCUUUGGGUAUAUACUAAGUAAUGACACUGUUGGGUCUAAUGGCAUUUCUAUAUUUAAUUCUUUGAGAAAUCACCACACCAUCUU